rnacentral:rRNA from 1 species
GUGGAGAAUAUUGGACAAUGGGGGGAACCCUGAUCCAGCCAUGCCGCGUGUGUGAAGAAGGCCUUUUGGUUGUAAAGCACUUUAAGCGAGGAGGAGGCUACCGAGAUUAAUACUCUUGGAUAGUGGACGUUACUCGCAGAAUAAGCACCGGCUAACUCUGUGCCAGCAGCCGCGGUAAUACAGAGGGUGCAAGCGUUAAUCGGAUUUACUGGGCGUAAAGCGCGCGUAGGUGGCCAAUUAAGUCAAAUGUGAAAUCCCCGAGCUUAACUUGGGAAUUGCAUUCGAUACUGGUUGGCUAGAGUAUGGGAGAGGAUGGUAGAAUUCCAGGUGUAGCGGUGAAAUGCGUAGAGAUCUGGAGGAAUACCGAUGGCGAAGGCAGCCAUCUGGCCUAAUACUGACACUGAGGUGCGAAAGCAUGGGGAGCAAACAGGAUUAGAAACCCCUGUAGUCC